rnacentral:sRNA from 1 species
CUUCCUUCUUCCUGAAUUUUUCCCCUCACUCUCUUAUCUCAUCUUUUCCCCACUUGCUUGCUUCCUGAAAUUUUCCUUUUCCCUCUCUCCUUCCUGCGUCGCCGCCGGUCACCUGAGUCGCCUCGGUGUACUUCCCUUCCAGCUUAUUGUGGGGAAACCUUGAAGGGCUCCCUGGGGUCAGAUCCGUUUGCUCAUGGAUCGGAGGUGUGCGGCACUGGGGAUAUUGAUGUGCGACGAACCGUCGUCGGUAUCGGAGGACCUUCGGCACAGCAAGGGUCCUUUGACGAAGCAUCUCGUUUGCUGUCCAUGAUUGGAGCAGUGGCUCAUGGUUUCAGGUAAAUAGGAAUAUUCAUGCAUAUCAUUCGUUUUUGUCUCUUAUGCAAAAUAUAAAGUUCUCUUCUUGCUUGUUGGCUGUUUGAUUUGAUUAGCAGUGUGAAGCUGGCAGUCUUCCGUUGGGGAUAUCAUUAGGAUUGAUUCAUUUGUCUCUUUUAUUGAAGGAAAAGUGUACUGCUCUUUGACGCACUCCAUCAAAAAUAUUUUACAUCAAGAAGUUUAUCUUCUCAAUCUUUGCUGGGGGAAACAUUUGAAGAUAUAUGGCUAUUUGAGAUUUUUGCUAAUUGAUUUUUUAUGCUUCAAAUAUUUUUAUUGGUUGACUGAGAUGAAUUUUUAUUAGAUUAGUAGAUAUAUAUGGAUAUUAAAAAUAUACUAUUUCAGAACAGUAUCAAGACAAAUAGAACAUUUCCUUAAAUAAAUUGAUAUUAGAUAAUGUGAACCUACCAGCACCCUAUCUUAAGCUCGAUAUACGUUUGAGAGGACUUUCUUAUCAAAUGGGUCUUAUUGAAUAACAUUUGUGCAUCUAUAAACUUGAAUAACACUGGUACAAUUAGAGGAUUUUAAAUACUGUGGGUAUAUGUCAGAGGACUUUUUACAUAGACUGUCUUUCGAGCUCACCGUUUCUGCUUGCAGUAAACCUUAAAAAUAUUAAGUCAAUUAGAAAAUCUCCUUGUAUACAAUGUUUCUAGCGACAUUUUCUUCGGGACAAUCUGAAUCAUCAAUCAGAACCUUCAGGCCAUUUCGGUUUGUGACUCUAGAGAAUGCUACCGCCCUGUUUGGGGGAGCUUCUCCCAGCUGCAGCUUUUCCCAAAAGCUGCUUCUGCUAGAAGCUGCCUCAAACAGUCCACAGCUUCUGAGAAUCUGCAGUUAUAGAUUCUGAAAAAUGAACUAAGAAGCCAGAAGCUGGGUUUCAGAGCUUUUCCAGAUUCUCAAAAGCUGGCUACCAAACAGCUGCUUCUCGGAAUCUAAAGCUCCCCAAACAGGCCCCCAUGGCAGAAGACUUGUUUAGGACAAAUGGCCAGUUGGUGUCGCUCGGUGACAUGAUGAUUGGAAUUUCAACGUGUUGAGGAACUCGGUAGGAUACAUGUGCUCCAUGCUACUGUUGUUUGUCAUCGCUUUGCAAACGGUGUCACAGCUUAGCAAAAUGUAAGGUGGAGGCGGUGCAGUGGUUGGGUCACGGAUCGGCCAGGGUGGCGAGCCUGGGGGAAUCGGCGGGCAGGCAAAGGUUGGUUGACGCUGUUUUUCUUUUCAAUUCCUUUGCAUGAAUUAUAUGUUUGGAUGCUUCAUGUGCAAUCGGUUGCAAAAUUAGGUCUGUAUAUACAGAGAUGUGAUAAAAAAUCAUAAAUAAAAUAACAGAUUGCAUAGUAAUAUAUCUCAGUUUAUGCAUAUACAACAUUCGACUAUUAUAAUACAGUACAUGUAAUGAUCUGUAUUGACUAUGAACUAUUCUUUCUAGCUAGUAUCAUUAACUGUAGGAUAUUCUAUCGAGCUACUGCUAAUUAUGAACUAUUAUCAUGAGCUCUAAGCACUAUUUGUAUACUUAGAAUUCAUUUUCCUUGUUCUCUGAGGCCUUGUGUUGCAUGCUUUAUUGUCUGAUUGAACACAUGUUUUCUGACGUUUUUCAACAGAGCUUUCCUUGCCUAUGCCAUUGAUGGUUUUAGCCUAUCUUUUUCCUGCCUUGAUGGAUUCUUCAACAACUGAUUUGUUUAUUUCAUGGCUGUAGGUGUCAUUUCUGAUUUCCGCCUUUGUGGAUUUUGCAUGAGCGCCUUUUGCAUUUUUGCCUCGAACUUUUGCAUCUACGCAUUUUAUCAUACUUGUUUCAUUGCUCUCCUCUUCUGAAUCGUCUUCUAUUAUGUAUGACCUCCGUCUUAUUUGUUUGCAACUGGGAGGUUUGUCAGACGAAGUGAGUUCAUCUUCACUCGUGAUUUCCUGGUCACUAUCCUCUAGCUCUUGCUUCACGGGUAGCAGUGAGAUGGAUCUGUUUUUAAUAAGAGGGCCGCUGCUGGUUUGUUCCUGCAAAGGCAAUGAAGUAUUUGUCAUAUGUGCUAUAUAUUAUAAAUAAAUGAAAAUUUGUAUUAUAUGU